rnacentral:rRNA from 1 species
UACAGAGGUCUCAAGCGUUAAUCGGAAUUACUGGGCGUAAAGCGUGCGCAGGCGGCUAUGCAAGACAGAUGUGAAAUCCCCGGGCUCAACCUGGGAACUGCAUUUGUGACUGCAUGGCUAGAGUACGGUAGAGGGGGAUGGAAUUCCGCGUGUAGCAGUGAAAUGCGUAGAUAUGCGGAGGAACACCGAUGGCGAAGGCAAUCCCCUGGACCUGUACUGACGCUCAUGCACGAAAGCGUGGGGAGCAAACAGG